CCCGAGGCCAUCUGCCUCCCAACAUGAACGCUUCUUGCAAUCAUUCAUGUCGUUUAUUGUCGCGGCGUCUGGGCUUACUGAAUUUGAUCUCCCUGCAGCCUUCUUUGUCAUAACCAAAAUGAUUUAGCUCGUGUGAACACCUGGUCUUGUGUCGUGCUGAAUAAUAUUAAUUGUUGAUGUUAAGACGACUGACUUCACGCCGUUUUCGUCGCCAUGAAGAUGAA